rnacentral:misc_RNA from 1 species
GAUGAAGAACGUAGCGAAAUGCGAUAAGUAGUGUGAAUUGCAGAAUUCAGUGAAUCAUCGAAUCUUUGAACGCACAUUGCGCCCGCCAGUAUUCUGGCGGGCAUGCCUGUUCGAGCGUCAUUUCAACCCUCAAGCCCCAGCGGCCUGGUGUUGGGGACCGGCGACCUCGCCCGAGCCCGCCCUCCGGGGCGCGUGCCCGGUGCGUCCGCCGCCCCCGAAAUGAAUUGGCGGCCUCGUCGCGGCCUCCUCUGCGUAGUAGCACAACCUCGCAAGCGGGAGCGCGACGCGGCCACUGCCGUAAAACGCCCAACUUUUUUAGAGUUGACCUCGGAUCAGGUAGGAAUACCCGCUGAACUUAAGCAUAUCAAUAAGCGGAGGA